AACGAACGCUGGCGGCAUGCCUAACACAUGCAAGUCGAACGAGACCUUCGGGUCUAGUUGCGCCCGGGUGCGUAACCCGUGGCAACCUGCCCUUAGGUUCGGCAUAACUCCCCGAAAGGGGUGCUAAUACCGGAUAAUGUCUUCGGACCAAAGGUUUAUCGCCUUUGGAUGGGCCCGAGUUUGAUUAGCUAGUUGGUAGGGUAAAAGCAUACCAAGGCGACGUUCCAUAGCUGGUCUGAGAGGAUGAUCAGCCACACCGGGACUGAGACACGGCCCAGACUCCUACGGGAGGCAGCAGUAGGGAAUAUUGGACAAUGGGCGAAAGCCUGAUCCAGCAAUGCCGCGUGAGUGAUGAAGGCCUUAGGGGGGUAAAGCUCUUGUACCCGGGAUGAUAAUGACAGUACCGGGAGAAUAAGCUCCGGCUAACUCCGUG
rnacentral:rRNA from 1 species